UGAACCAAGCUCGGCGCGUUCUCUCUUCCGCGGGCGCGAUUUUGGUCUCCUUUCCUCAGAGCAGCUUCCCUGGGAACACUGCUCCGCCCUCAAGAUGGCGGCCAGGUGGAACCUUCCACAGAGAGCGUGGGUCAGCCUCUCCACAGGAUUUGGUUUGGAACCUGAGCUAAGUCGCCCCGCUAGGCCCACAAGCAGCCUGCCGGUUCUCCGCAGCAGGAUCUGGCGGAGAGGCAGAGGUUGCUAACACUGUGUGCGGGGCGCGCCCCGCAGCUCCCUGGAUGCAACAAGGAGCACAAUGACGUCUCUUCUUUCAAUGGAAAUUAUUCUUCAAGGAAUUUCCAUUUUUCAACAUUAUUUCUCCAUAUGUUUCCUGGCUUCUCUUCAGAGCUCCUGACAUUCAUGCUGCUAGACUCCUCCUGACCAGGUAAAGAUUUAUUUGACCUGUCUUCCCUGCCCAAUACUAUCCUUUGAUUCAGGUAAGAGAGUUCUCUACAGUUGACCUAAGCUUUAGAGGGCUCCACUCUGGUCUUCCCAUGUGUGCCCUUUUUCCCAUCAGUUGAAGACUCUGUGGGAUCAAGGAGAUUUGCUUCCAGUUUGCCAUUUUCUUGUCCUCUGACCAUACUCUAGGUACCUUGUGGUAUAGAAUAUUCUGCUCAAAUGGUCAUAAGUUCUCUUCUCCUGAAGUUGAACCUCUAAAUUCAGUGGCCAGAGGAAAGUGUGGGUGUGGGUAAAGCUUGAAAAUGUGGUUUGGAACAUCCACAAAUGCGUAGCAAAGAAACAUUAUGGUGUGGUAGAGAGGGAAGUUAUGGAGAAGAAGUGGGUAUGGGAACUUGUGUGUGGGAAGGUUGAGAGCUGGAGACUAAAGCCAGGGUCUGACUCAGCAGACAACUGCUAUAUUCUCAGCAGGAACUCAGAGAUCCAACAAUUCUAAAUUCAGACCUGGCCUACCUCUUGUUAUGAAGAUGUACUUGGCAAAGUAAAAGGACAGAGCGUAUUUUACUUAACACUGGUUUUUAAUUUUUAAAUAUUUUGACAUAUAGUGCUAGCUUUGUCUGUUGUGGAUUGUGUACUUACAGAGAGAAAAGAACCUCUUUACCCUGUUUGCUGCUUUUCCUAGGUUAUGGUCCAUGCUGUAUAGUGAAGAUUUGCCUUAAAAAAAUUUAAACAAGUAAAACGUUCUAGAUUGGAAGUUAGAAAGACCAAGUUUCUGUUGUUAGUCGCUUCUAAAUUGCUAUUGGCCUUUAUACAAAUUAUUUGGUCUCUUGGCCGGUUGUAAUAUGUGAGAGUUUGAAUUUGAUUAUUGCUGAGGUAUAUUCCAGGUGUAAAGCUCAUUUACAAAGUUUUCAUUAACAUAAACUGAUGUGUAUUUAAAAAUAACAAUGAGAAAUAAAAGGUAGAGCAGAAAUACAUAAUUAUUGUAGCUAAGAGCAAAAGCAAUCAAAUUUAACACCUGAACGCCAAUCCUUACAAUACUCUGUACGUCUCCGCUACACCACUUAGCUUCUAAUUAUUUAUCUGAAGAAUCCCAGGAAGGAUGGUGCACCAUGCUUAGUAGUCUCAUUUUAUAGAUGAAGAUGAUGAGCAAGAGAAGAUUGGCUGUUAGCACCUUACCAGAAGAACAAAGGCUAGGUUUUCUGUAAAAACUUGGCUCUCCUAGGGACCCAUUGCAGACUGUGAACUGAAUUACUCCUCAUAGCUGGGACACGAGAGCUUGCAGGGGUGGGGUCUCCAUGAUGCUUUCUUUGCUUGUCCUUGCAUGAGUCACUUUGGAAGAUUGUUUGCCCAAAAGCCAAAGAAAUAUAAAUGGCAUCGUCAUCUUAAAAAAGACAUGCUCAAUACUUUUUCUCUGUUCUACUCAGCUGCAUGUUAACAUCUCCAUUUGUCCUUUUACUUGCUUGUUCCAAGAGAUACACACCUUUAAUAUGUUAGGUGUCUACAAUCAGCAGCUUAUAUAUUUCUUGGUGCAGUCAAUUUCUCUUUUAGUUGAUUUCUCUAUAACUGUUCUAGACCGGAAAUAAAUAAUAAUUUAUUUAUAGAAACACAAAGUUUUCUACUGUCAGCAAGGUGUCCAGGAUUAAUUUCCUUAGACCUAAACUACUCUUCAUCCUAUUUAUAGUCUUUUUUUUUUCUUUUUUUGUGUGUUAAAAUUGUCAAAACACAAAAUGCCAGAGUAUUAUUGAGUUCUGACAAUGACUGGUGUUACAUAUUUAAUGUGUUGAAAUUCAUAAGAAAUAUUUAUGAAUAUUUCUGAAUUGUCAAUUCAUUUUAAUUUCUCAUAAAUCUAUGUAUAGUCAUCUUAAACUAUUGCUAUCUUGAUAAAUUUGUAAUGCUGAGAAAAGAGGGUUUUUUUUAAUUUUUUUAAGUUUAUUUUGAGAGAGAGAAGGAGAGAGAAUGUGAGCAGGGAGGAGGCAGAGCAGAGGGAGCGGGAGAGAGAGAAUCCCAAGCAGGCUUCACGCUGUCGGUGCAGACCCUGACACAAGGCUCUAUCCCACAAACCGUGAGAUCAUGACCUAGGCUGAAAUCAAGAGUCAGAUACUUAACCAACUGAGCCACCCAGGUGCCCCUUAAGAGUUUUCAAUCCAGAUUUACACUUGAUUCUUAGCUGAGUGAAAGAAUGUUGCAUAAAGAUGCAUUUGAAAUCUUCAAGUAUGUUCAAGUAAAUAAAUAUUUCAAUCAAAUAAUAGAUACUGAAUUUUUACUAUAUAAAAUGUUAGCUAAACUGCAAAUAUGCACAAGCCAUGGCCUUAAAUUUAUGGAACUCCAAUAGAAAGUGCCUGACAGCCAUAUGAAUUAUCAUUUUUUUCCAAAGUUUAGAUACUGAUUAACAUGAUUUUCUAAACUUAUAACUGAAUACCCUUUAAUAUUUAUAUCUAUAAGAUUUCUCAUUUAAAUACAGUUACAAAUCAUUUAUACAAGAGAGCCAGAGAGGUAGAACAGAGAAAUAUUUAUUUAUAGGAAAAUAAAAAUUUAGAAUUCGAAGA